CAGAAAAUAGAGACUAAUGAAGCGGGAAGUCGAAGCAGCGACGUUAUAGAAAAGAAAUUAAUGAGACAGUAAGCCGAAGAAGCAUACGUUACAGAAAAGGAAUUAAUGAAACGAGAAGCCGAAAAAGCAGACGUUAAAGGGAAAUAAUUAAUGAAACGGAAAGCCGAAGAGGCAAAUGUUACGAGAAAGACGAGCGGUCGCAAUGAUUGGAGAGUAGAAAUUUUGAGAAUGAAAAACUAUGGUGCUGCCACGUGACAAAAGCUUAUGAGAAAUAAUGUAUGUACAUAGAUAUAGAUAUAGAUAUAGAUAUAGAUUUGCACUAGUUCUAAUUCUUAUAUACAUAUUAAUAUAUAUUAUUAUUUGAAUAGUUUUUGAAUGAAAAUUUAAUUCAUAUCUAAAUCCGAAUCUGGAUCCAUAUUUAGUAGAUAUGAUUACAAAAAUUUAGUAUUCAAUAUAUAUCCGCAUUGGAAUUCAUAUCCGAAGAAAAAAUAUGAAUGUGAAUAUGAUAAUAUUCUACCAUUUUCUCGCUUACUAAAUAGGCCCAUAUAUUGCUAUACUAUCUUGAGUACGUAUACUAGGUCUUGUUUGGAUGUCAGAAUGAGUUAUUCAAGAAUAACUUAUUCGAUACAAAAUUUUUUUUAAUAUGAUUGUGAAAAAGGAGUUUAAUAUUUUGCUACUUAAAAGAUCUUGGU
rnacentral:lncRNA from 1 species